AACGAACGCUGGCGGCAGGCUUAAUACAUGCAAGUCGAGCGCCCCGCAAGGGGAGCGGCAGACGGGCGAGUAACGCGUGGGAACGUACCCUUUGCUACGGAAUAGCUCCGGGAACCCGGAAUGAAUAACGUAUGUGCGCUAAGGGGGAAAGCGUUAUCGGCAAAGGAUCGGCCCGCGUUGGAUUAGCUAGUUGGUGGGGUAAUGGCCUACCAAGGCGACGAUCCAUAGCUGGUCUGAGAGGAUGAUCAGCCACAUUGGGACUGAGACGCGGCCCAAACGCCUACGGGAGGCAGCAGUGGGGAAUAUUGGACAAUGGGCGCAAGCCUGAUCCAGCCAUGCCGCGUGAGUGAUGAAGGCCUUAGGGUUGUAAAGCUCUUUCACCGGAGAAGAUAAUGACGGUAUCCGGAGAAGAAGCCCCGGCUAACUUCGUGCAAGCAGCCGCCGUAAAAC
rnacentral:rRNA from 1 species